AUUGAACGCUGGCGGCAGGCCUAACACAUGCAAGUCGAGCGAGCGGCGGACGGGUGAGUAAUGUCUGGGAAACUGCCUGAUGGAGGGGGAUAACUACUGGAAACGGUAGCUAAUACCGCAUACCAUCAGAUGUGCCCAGAUGGGAUUGGCUAGUAGGUGGGGUAACGGCUAACCUGGGCAACGAUCACUAGCUGGUCUUAGAGGAUGAUCAGACACAAUGGAACUGAGACACGGGCCGGACUCCUACGGGAGGCAGAAGUGGGGAAUAUUGGACAAUGUGCGAAAGCCUGAGCAAGCCAUGCCGCGUGUGUGAAGAAGGUCUUCGGAUUGUAAAGAACUUUAAGUUGGGAGGCGUUACCAACAGAAUAAGCACCGGCUAACUUCGUGCCAGCAGCCGCGGUAAUAC
rnacentral:rRNA from 1 species